CGGUUAAGUUAGAAAGGGCGCACGGUGGAUGCCUUGGCACUAGGAGCCGAUGAAGGACGGGACGAACACCGAUAUGCUUCGGGGAGCUGUAAGCAAGCUUUGAUCCGGAGAUUUCCGAAUGGGGAAACCCACCACUCGUAAUGGAGUGGUAUCCAUAUCUGAAUACAUAGGGUAUGAGAAGGCAGACCCGGGGAACUGAAACAUCUAAGUACCCGGAGGAAGAGAAAGCAAAUGCGAUUCCCUGAGUAGCGGCGAGCGAAACGGGACCAGCCCAAACCAAGAGGCUUGCCUCUUGGGGUUGUAGGACACUCUGUACGGAGUUACAAAGGAACGAGGUAGAUGAAGAGGUCUGGAAAGGCCCGCCAUAGGAGGUAACAGCCCUGUAGUCAAAACUUCGUUCUCUCCUGAGUGGAUCCUGAGUACGGCGGAACACGUGAAAUUCCGUCGGAAUCCGGGAGGACCAUCUCCCAAGGCUAAAUACUCCCUAGUGACCGAUAGUGAACCAGUACCGUGAGGGAAAGGUGAAAAGCACCCCGGAAGGGGAGUGAAAGAGAUCCUGAAACCGUGUGCCUACAAGUAGUCAGAGCCCGUUAACGGGUGAUGGCGUGCCUUUUGUAGAAUGAACCGGCGAGUUACGAUCCCGUGCAAGGUUAAGCAGAAGAUGCGGAGCCGCAGCGAAAGCGAGUCUGAAUAGGGCGAAUUGAGUACGUGGUCGUAGACCCGAAACCAGGUGAUCUACCCAUGUCCAGGGUGAAGUUCAGGUAACACUGAAUGGAGGCCCGAACCCACGCACGUUGAAAAGUGCGGGGAUGAGGUGUGGGUAGGGGUGAAAUGCCAAUCGAACCUGGAGAUAGCUGGUUCUCUCCGAAAUAGCUUUAGGGCUAGCCUCAAGGUAAGAGUCUCGGAGGUAGAGCACUGAUUGGACUAGGGGCCCCUACCGGGUUACCGAAUUCAGUCAAACUCCGAAUGCCGAUGACUUAUCCUUGGGAGUCAGACUGCGAGUGAUAAGAUCCGUAGUCGAAAGGGAAACAGCCCAGACCGCCAGCUAAGGUCCCAAAGUAUACGUUAAGUGGAAAAGGAUGUGGAGUUGCUUAGACAACCAGGAUGUUGGCUUAGAAGCAGCCACCAUUUAAAGAGUGCGUAAUAGCUCACUGGUCGAGUGACUCUGCGCCGAAAAUGUACCGGGGCUAAACGUAUCACCGAAGCUGCGGACUGUUCUUCGAACAGUGGUAGGAGAGCGUUCUAAGGGCUGUGAAGCAAGACCGGAAGGACUUGUGGAGCGCUUAGAAGUGAGAAUGCCGGUAUGAGUAGCGAAAGAGGGGUGAGAAUCCCCUCCACCGAAUGCCUAAGGUUUCCUGAGGAAGGCUCGUCCGCUCAGGGUUAGUCGGGACCUAAGCCGAGGCCGAAAGGCGUAGGCGAUGGACAACAGGUUGAUAUUCCUGUACCACCUCCUCACCAUUUGAGCAAUGGGGGGACGCAGGAGGAUAGGGUAAGCGCGGUAUUGGAUAUCCGCGUCCAAGCAGUUAGGCUGGGAAAUAGGCAAAUCCGUUUCCCGUGAAGGCUGAGCUGUGAUGGCGAGCGAAUUAUAGUAGCGAAGUUCCUGAUUCCACACUGCCAAGAAAAGCCUCUAGCGAGGUGAGAGGUGCCCGUACCGCAAACCGACACAGGUAGGCGAGGAGAGAAUCCUAAGGUGAUCGAGAGAACUCUCGUUAAGGAACUCGGCAAAAUGACCCCGUAACUUCGGGAGAAGGGGUGCUCUGUUAGGGUGCAAGCCCCGCAGUGAAUAGGCCCAGGCGACUGUUUAGCAAAAACACAGGUCUCUGCGAAGCCGUAAGGCGAAGUAUAGGGGCUGACGCCUGCCCGGUGCUGGAAGGUUAAGAGGAGCGCUUAGCGUAAGCGAAGGUGCGAAUUGAAGCCCCAGUAAACGGCGGCCGUAACUAUAACGGUCCUAAGGUAGCGAAAUUCCUUGUCGGGUAAGUUCCGACCCGCACGAAAGGCGCAACGAUCUGGGCACUGUCUCAACGAGAGACUCGGUGAAAUUAUAGUACCUGUGAAGAUGCAGGUUACCCGCGACAGGACGGAAAGACCCCGUGGAGCUUUACUGCAGCCUGAUAUUGAAUGUUGGUACAGCUUGUACAGGAUAGGUAGGAGCCUUGGAAACCGGAGCGCCAGCUUCGGUGGAGGCAUCGGUGGGAUACUACCCUGGCUGUAUUGACCUUCUAACCCGCCGCCCUUAUCGGGCGGGGAGACAGUGUCAGGUGGGCAGUUUGACUGGGGCGGUCGCCUCCUAAAAGGUAACGGAGGCGCCCAAAGGUUCCCUCAGAAUGGUUGGAAAUCAUUCGCAGAGUGUAAAGGCACAAGGGAGCUUGACUGCGAGACCUACAAGUCGAGCAGGGACGAAAGUCGGGCUUAGUGAUCCGGUGGUUCCGCAUGGAAGGGCCAUCGCUCAACGGAUAAAAGCUACCCCGGGGAUAACAGGCUUAUCUCCCCCAAGAGUCCACAUCGACGGGGAGGUUUGGCACCUCGAUGUCGGCUCAUCGCAUCCUGGGGCUGUAGUCGGUCCCAAGGGUUGGGCUGUUCGCCCAUUAAAGCGGUACGCGAGCUGGGUUCAGAACGUCGUGAGACAGUUCGGUCCCUAUCCGUCGCGGGCGCAGGAAAUUUGAGAGGAGCUGUCCUUAGUACGAGAGGACCGGGAUGGACGCACCGCUGGUGUACCAGUUGUUCUGCCAAGGGCAUCGCUGGGUAGCUAUGUGCGGACGGGAUAAGUGCUGAAAGCAUCUAAGCAUGAAGCCCCCCUCAAGAUGAGAUUUCCCAUUCCGCAAGGAAGUAAGAUCCCUGAAAGAUGAUCAGGUUGAUAGGUCUGAGGUGGAAGUGUGGCGACACAUGGAGCUGACAGAUACUAAUCGAUCGAGGACUUAACCAAUUU
rnacentral:rRNA from 1 species